rnacentral:rRNA from 1 species
UACGUAGGGAGCGAGCGUUGUCCGAAGUUACUGGGCGUAAAGGGCACGUAGGCGGUUAUAUUAGUCUGAUGUGAAAGACCUGGGCUUAACCUGGGAUGUGCAUUGGAAACGGUAUGGCUAGAGUAUGGGAGAGGGAAGUGGAAUUUCCGGUGUAGCGGUGAAAUGCGUAGAGAUCGGAAAGAACACUCGUGGCGAAGGCGGCUUUCUGGCCCAAAACUGACGCUGAGGUGCGAAAGCGUGGGGAGCGAACAGG